AGCGCCUUGAUUAUCAUGGUAGCGUGCUGUCAUGGGGUGUCGGGGGUCGGAGGUUCAAAUCCUCUCGUGCCGACCA
rnacentral:tRNA from 1 species